UUAAGCGACUAAGCGUACACGGUGGAUGCCCUGGCAGUCAGAGGCGAUGAAGGACGUGCUAAUCUGCGAAAAGCGUCGGUAAGGUGAUAUGAACCGUUAUAACCGGCGAUGUCCGAAUGGGGAAACCCAGUGUGAUUCGUCACACUAUCGUUAACUGAAUACAUAGGUUAACGAGGCGAACCGGGGGAACUGAAACAUCUAAGUACCCCGAGGAAAAGAAAUCAACCGAGAUUCCCCCAGUAGCGGCGAGCGAACGGGGAGCAGCCCAGAGUCUGAAUCAGCUUGUGUGUUAGUGGAACGGUCUGGAAAGUCCGACGGUACAGGGUGAUAGUCCCGUACACCAAAAUGCACAGGUUGUGAACUCGAAGAGUAGGGCGGGACACGUGGUAUCCUGUCUGAAUAUGGGGGGACCAUCCUCCAAGGCUAAAUACUCCUGACUGACCGAUAGUGAACCAGUACCGUGAGGGAAAGGCGAAAAGAACCCCGGCGAGGGGAGUGAAAAAGAACCUGAAACCGUGUACGUACAAGCAGUGGGAGCACCUUCGGGUGUGACUGCGUACCUUUUGUAUAAUGGGUCAGCGACUUAUAUUCUGUAGCAAGGUUAACCGUAUAGGGGAGCCGCAGGGAAACCGAGUCUUAACUGGGCGUUAAGUUGCAGGGUAUAGACCCGAAACCCGGUGAUCUAGCCAUGGGCAGGUUGAAGGUUGGGUAACACUAACUGGAGGACCGAACCGACUAAUGUUGAAAAAUUAGCGGAUGACUUGUGGCUGGGGGUGAAAGGCCAAUCAAACCGGGAGAUAGCUGGUUCUCCCCGAAAGCUAUUUAGGUAGCGCCUCGUGAACUCAUCUUCGGGGGUAGAGCACUGUUUCGGCUAGGGGGUCAUCCCGACUUACCAACCCGAUGCAAACUACGAAUACCGAAGAAUGUUAUCACGGGAGACACACGGCGGGUGCUAACGUCCGUCGUGAAGAGGGAAACAACCCAGACCGCCAGCUAAGGUCCCAAAGUCAUGGUUAAGUGGGAAACGAUGUGGGAAGGCACAGACAGCCAGGAUGUUGGCUUAGAAGCAGCCAUCAUUUAAAGAAAGCGUAAUAGCUCACUGGUCGAGUCGGCCUGCGCGGAAGAUGUAACGGGGCUAAACCAUGCACCGAAGCUGCGGCAGCGACACUAUGUGUUGUUGGGUAGGGGAGCGUUCUGUAAGCCUGCGAAGGUGACCUGUGAGGGUUGCUGGAGGUAUCAGAAGUGCGAAUGCUGACAUAAGUAACGAUAAAGCGGGUGAAAAGCCCGCUCGCCGGAAGACCAAGGGUUCCUGUCCAACGUUAAUCGGGGCAGGGUGAGUCGACCCCUAAGGCGAGGCCGAAAGGCGUAGUCGAUGGGAAACAGGUUAAUAUUCCUGUACUUGGUGUUACUGCGAAGGGGGGACGGAGAAGGCUAUGUUAGCCGGGCGACGGUUGUCCCGGUUUAAGCAUGUAGGCUGGUUAUCCAGGCAAAUCCGGAUAAUCAAGGCUGAGGUGUGAUGACGAGGCACUACGGUGCUGAAGUAACAAAUGCCCUGCUUCCAGGAAAAGCCUCUAAGCAUCAGGUAACAUCAAAUCGUACCCCAAACCGACACAGGUGGUCAGGUAGAGAAUACCAAGGCGCUUGAGAGAACUCGGGUGAAGGAACUAGGCAAAAUGGUGCCGUAACUUCGGGAGAAGGCACGCUGGUGUGUAGGUGAAGCCCCUGCGGGUGGAGCUGAGACCAGUCGAAGAUACCAGCUGGCUGCAACUGUUUAUUAAAAACACAGCACUGUGCAAACACGAAAGUGGACGUAUACGGUGUGACGCCUGCCCGGUGCCGGAAGGUUAAUUGAUGGGGUUAUCCGUAAGGAGAAGCUCUUGAUCGAAGCCCCGGUAAACGGCGGCCGUAACUAUAACGGUCCUAAGGUAGCGAAAUUCCUUGUCGGGUAAGUUCCGACCUGCACGAAUGGCGUAAUGAUGGCCAGGCUGUCUCCACCCGAGACUCAGUGAAAUUGAACUCGCUGUGAAGAUGCAGUGUACCCGCGGCAAGACGGAAAGACCCCGUGAACCUUUACUAUAGCUUGACACUGAACAUUGAGCCUUGAUGUGUAGGAUAGGUGGGAGGCUUUGAAGCGUGGACGCCAGUCUGCGUGGAGCCAACCUUGAAAUACCACCCUUUAAUGUUUGAUGUUCUAACGUUGGCCCCUUACCGGGGUUGCGGACAGUGUCUGGUGGGUAGUUUGACUGGGGCGGUCUCCUCCCAAAGCGUAACGGAGGAGCACGAAGGUUAGCUAAUCCUGGUCGGACAUCAGGAGGUUAGUGCAAUGGCAUAAGCUAGCUUGACUGCGAGCGUGACGGCGCGAGCAGGUGCGAAAGCAGGUCAUAGUGAUCCGGUGGUUCUGAAUGGAAGGGCCAUCGCUCAACGGAUAAAAGGUACUCCGGGGAUAACAGGCUGAUACCGCCCAAGAGUUCAUAUCGACGGCGGUGUUUGGCACCUCGAUGUCGGCUCAUCACAUCCUGGGGCUGAAGUAGGUCCCAAGGGUAUGGCUGUUCGCCAUUUAAAGUGGUACGCGAGCUGGGUUUAGAACGUCGUGAGACAGUUCGGUCCCUAUCUGCCGUGGGCGCUGGAGAAUUGAGGGGGGCUGCUCCUAGUACGAGAGGACCGGAGUGGACGCAUCACUGGUGUUCGGGUUGUCAUGCCAAUGGCACUGCCCGGUAGCUAAAUGCGGAAGAGAUAAGUGCUGAAAGCAUCUAAGCACGAAACUUGCCCCGAGAUGAGUUCUCCCUGAGACUUUAAGUCUCCUGAAGGAACGUUGAAGACGACGACGUUGAUAGGCCGGGUGUGUAAGCGCAGCGAUGCGUUGAGCUAACCGGUACUAAUGAACCGUGAGGCUUAACCU
rnacentral:rRNA from 1 species